AAAUUGAAGAGUUUGAUCAUGGCUCAGAUUGAACGCUGGCGGCAGGCCUAACACAUGCAAGUCGAACGGUAACAGGAAGCAGCUUGCUGCUUUGCUGACGAGUGGCGGACGGGUGAGUAAUGUCUGGGAAACUGCCUGAUGGAGGGGGAUAACUACUGGAAACGGUAGCUAAUACCGCAUAACGUCGCAAGACCAAAGAGGGGGACCUUCGGGCCUCUUGCCAUCGGAUGUGCCCAGAUGGGAUUAGCUAGUAGGUGGGGUAACGGCUCACCUAGGCGACUAUCCCUAGCUGGUCUGAGAGGAUGACCAGCCACACUGGAACUGAGACACGGUCCAGACUCCUACGGGAGGCAGCAGUGGGGAAUAUUGCACAAUGGGCGCAAGCCUGAUGCAGCCAUGCCGCGUGUAUGACGAAGGCCUUCGGGUUGUAAAGU
rnacentral:rRNA from 1 species